GUCCACCUGAGAUUUCUCGUGUUAAGAUACCCAAUUCCCACCUAAUAUGACGUUAGGUGCUGAAUUCAAUGUGGAAAGCUUAACAUUUAGAAAUUGGAACACAUUAGUAGCAUCAUCCCAAGGUGCAAGAAUAAAGAGCUACCUAUAUGAGCAUGAAGUUUAGCCGCUUCAAGAAGCUAGGACUUCGCUUUGAUAUGUUCAUUGAAGGAUGGGACACAGGCUAGUAAAAAUAGU
rnacentral:lncRNA from 1 species